CAGCAGCCGCGGUAAAACGUAGGUGGCAAGCGUUGUCCGGAAUUAUUGGGCGUAAAGGGCUCGCAGGCGGUUUCUUAAGUCUGAUGUGAAAGCCCCCGGCUCAACCGGGGAGGGUCAUUGGAAACUGGGAAACUUGAGUGCAGAAGAGGAGAGUGGAAUUCCACGUGUAGCGGUGAAAUGCGUAGAGAUGUGGAGGAACACCAGUGGCGAAGGCGACUCUCUGGUCUGUAACUGACGCUGAGGAGCGAAAGCGUGGGGAGCGAACAGGAUUAGAUACCCCAGUAGUCCCUGUCUCUUAUAC
rnacentral:rRNA from 1 species